rnacentral:rRNA from 1 species
CAGUAGCCGCGGUAAUACGUAGGGUGCAAGCGUUAAUCGGAAUUACUGGGCGUAAAGCGUGCGCAGGCGGUUUGUUAAGACAGAUGUGAAAUCCCCGGGCUCAACCUGGGAACUGCAUUUGUGACUGGCAAGCUAGAGUCUGGCAGAGGGGGGUGGAAUUCCGCGUGUAGCAGUGAAAUGCGUAGAUAUGCGGAGGAACACCGAUGGCGAAGGCAGCCCCCUGGGCCAACACUGACGCUCAUGCACGAAAGCGUGGGGAGCAAACAGGAUUAGAUACCCGCGUAGUCCCUGUCUCUUAUAA